AGUGCGCAGGCGCAAGGUGUGUCUCGCGAGAUCUCCAGUUGCCUGGUAACGGGCAGCCCGCUGUCUGCAGUCUGUCCUGAGAACCAGUGUACCGGUUAGACUCCAGAGGCUAGUUCUCUCUCCAGUCGCCGCUCCUUUCUAACCCAAUUUCUGCCUUUCAGCGCCUGGUUCUGAGCCCCUCUCGCUUUUCUGUUUUCGGCUUACCAAAGAGACGCUAAACCAGUGCCCCCUUCACCGAGUCUCUGCCGAAUCCCCGGCAAUGUGGAAAUAAAGAAAUAAAGAUAAAUGGGAGACGGGAAGGUGGUGAGGAAACUAUGCACUUACAGGCAACGAUGUAGACGAUCUUGAGCCUCCGGAAAGAAUAAAGGCUAUCUUGAAUUCUGUGAGAGCAGUUCAGAGAAUUCCAAAUACUGUGACUACCCCAGCCAGUGGAGGCUUGGAUGGUUAGGAAUGGAGUCUCUGGGAAGUCAGACGAUUGUAAGACAGCUGAAGAACAUUUUCAAGAUCAGGGAUCUGAAUCUGUUGAUUUACUCUUGUCAAGACCGAGACCAUAGUUUGCGUCUAACCUAAUAAGCCUCCUCCCUCCUCACACCCUUUCUUUUCCCUUUCCAGUCUAACUUAGCACUUUUAUUCCUCUUCUAAAUAUUUUCCUCUUUUUCUCAAUCGCUUCACCGCUCGUUUUGUUUCGCAUCUUUGGUCUGUAUAGCUUCAAUGUUCCUCACCUACGUAGUACCCGACUGGCCGUAAGGUAAACGAAACAAGGAGCUGUGCGUGUGGUCAGAGUAUUGCAGGUUACGCGGGGUAAAGUACAGUGUGACUAAUUUUUUAAUCAAUUAGAAAAAUAAAGAAAAAACAAAGUUAGGAGUUUGAGUGUAACAGGCUUUUGUUUCGUAAAAUGAAUAGUAACAGAUCAUCACGAUGAACUGUAAACAUGCAGUUGUAAAGCAAUCUCAGAUCACAAUUUUGAGCAGCAACCUCUCAUUGCCCAACAGAAUUCCACUCUAUUCUUGAAAUGUCACUGAAUGUCCUCAUUCAGCUCUAACCUGUUUCUAUCAUGUCUGUCGCCGUAUUCACUAGAAACAAGAUGGGCGUUUUGGGCACUGGAAGGCAAGAAGUUCAUGUCUCAUGAUUUUUUAAUAUAAUACUUAAAAUCUUCGGUGGCAGCUAGACUUUCUACUACGCUUGGUCAAAGCUGUGACACUAGACCCUAAGGCAGGCCACGUGAAACAGGACCUGUUUGUAGACUCAGUACUGUGUUAGGUUAUAACCUUCAUAAAUCAUUCAACCCUUGAAAAACAUUAAUAAACCCUUCUUUUUCUUCUUCUUCGGCUGAGCCACAGGGCAUGAGAGAUCUUGGUUCCCUUGCCAGGGACUGAACCUGCAUCCCCUGCAUUAGAAGCUGGAGUCUUAACCACUGGACCACCAGGGAAGUCCCCCAAAUUGCUGGUUUUGAAUAUAACUUAACCCUGGCUUUUGAUUUGAGUUCUCCAGAGAAGUAGAACCAGUGGAGAUACAGAUGUGAGUUAUGGAGCCUGAGAAGUUCCACAGUCGGCUGUCUGCAAGCUGGAAACCUGGAAAGCUAGUGAUGUCAUUUCAGUCUAAACCCAAUGGCCUGAUAAUCAUGGGAGCUGACAGUUUAAAAAUCUCAUUCCAAGGACAGGAGAAGAGUACAAAAACGAGAGGAUGCUUCCCUAACAUGUUGUAUGUGCUAUGAUUUCCAUGCAAUGACAAGAGAAAUUCAAGAAUCUUCUAUGGAACUCAACUCAUGGAUGUUAAAAUUUAUACAGAAGAGCAAGGUGCCAAGGACAGGCCUUCCUGAAGAAGAACAAAAUUAGGAGGCUUUAAUAAUGAAGACAAUGUGAUGUAGGUGGGGGGAUAAACAAAUGCAGAGCCCAAGAAACUAUUAAUAUGUUAACUCUCAUGAUUUCUCUUAAACCCACCCUAAUCAGGCUUGUUCCCCCCAUGCCCACCCCCACGACUGCAUUAAAACUUCCCUUCAAGUCAUCAGUGAUCUGGACAAUGACCUAAAUCCAACUGCUAAUUCUCAGUCUUCAUCUAACCUAACAUACUUUGGACAUGAACUUGGGCAAACUCCAGGUGAUGGUGAGGGACUGGGAAGCCUGGCAUGCUGCAGUCCAUGCUGUUGCAAAGAGUUGGACUUGACUUGGCGACUGAACAACAAGAACAAAACAUACUUUCUCACUCAUGAUGCUUUCUCAACACUACAUUCUCUUGGUUUUUCUCUCACCUCAGUGAUCACUUCUCUGUCUUCUUCGUGCUCUUCUCCCCAAACAUUUAGUGUUGAAAUUUCCCAUGGCUCACUCUUCAGUUCUGUUUCCGUAUCUCCUCCAUACACAUUGAGUUUCUAGGGCCAUCUUAUCUCAAGUUUCAGAAGUUGAACCCUUGAGUCCCAGAUCUAAUCACCUAGCCCAGUCGAAACUUAAAUAUCUAACUGUCCAUUUCACAUUUUCACUUGGAUGUCUGAUAUCUCAAAUGCAGCAUGUCCACAGUGGAGCUUCUGAUGUUUGUUGCUGUUGUUCAGCUGUUGAGUCAUGUCUGACUGUUUGCAACCCCAUGGACUGCAGCACGCCAGGCCUCCCUGCCCCUCACUGUCUUCCAGAGUUUGCCCAAGUUCUUGUCUGCUGAACC